rnacentral:rRNA from 1 species
GAUGAACGCUGGCGGCGUGCCUAAUACAUGCAAGUCGAGCGAACAGACGAGGAGCUUGCUCCUCUGACGUUAGCGGCGGACGGGGGAGUAACACGUGGAUAACCUACCUAUAAGACUGGGAUAACUUCGGGAAACCGGAGCUAAUACCGGAUAAUAUAUUGAACAGCAUGGUUCAAUAGUGAAAGACGGUUUUGCUGUCACUUAUAGAUGGAUCCGCGCCGCAUUAGCUAGUUGGUAAGGUAACGGCUUACCAAGGCAACGAUGCGUAGCCGACCUGAGAGGGUGAUCGGCCACACUGGAACUGAGACACGGUCCAGACUCCUACGGGAGGCAGCAGUAGGGAAUCUUCCGCAAUGGGCGAAAGCUUGACGGAGCAACGCCGCGUGAGUGAUGAAGGUCUUCGGAUCGUAAAACUCUGUUAUUAGGGAAGAACAAAUGUGUAAGUAACUAUGCACGUCUUGACGGUACCUAAUCAGAAAGCCACGGCUAACUACGUG